rnacentral:rRNA from 1 species
AUUGAACGCUGGCGGCAUGCCUUACACAUGCAAGUCGAACGGCAGCACGGGUGCUUGCCCCUGGUGGCGAGUGGCGAACGGGUGAGUAAUACAUCGGAACAUGUCCUGUAGUGGGGGAUAGCCCGGCGAAAGCCGGAUUAAUACCGCAUACGAUCUACGGAUGAAAGCGGGGGACCUUCGGGCCUCGCGCUAUAGGGUUGGCCGAUGGCUGAUUAGCUAGUUGGUGGGGUAAAGGCCUACCAAGGCGACGAUCAGUAGCUGGUCUGAGAGGACGACCAGCCACACUGGGACUGAGACACGGCCCAGACUCCUACGGGAGGCAGCAGUGGGGAAUUUUGGACAAUGGGCGAAAGCCUGAUCCAGCAAUGCCGCGUGUGUGAAGAAGGCCUUCGGGUAGUAAAGCACUUUUGUCCGGAAAGAAAUCCUUGGCCCUAAUACGGUCGGGGGAUGACGGUACCGGAAGAAUAAGCACCGGCUAACUACGUG